UUGGGGCUGGAGUGAAAUAUCUUAAGUGUGUAAACAGAGGAAAAGGGAAAUUCUGCGUGACGACUGUUGCAUUUUUCAGGAGAGUUUGAGUGGCAAGUUUUACUCCUGCUCUCUGAGGAUUUAUUCCUGCUCCAUCCAUCCAUCCAUCCACCCAUCCAUCCAUUCAUUCAUUCACAAGUCCAUCCAGCCAUCCACUGAGCCAUGAGAGUCUUCUUCAUUAUCUGUUGAAUGCUUGCUUCAUUUGCCUGCUCAGCCCGGCCUUGUUUGAGGGGAUUUGAGGAGCGAGAUUGCUAAUCCCAACUUUGAACAUGAAUCAGCGUCCAGGGGGAAGGCCUCCUGGAUUCUCAGCCUCUUUCUUAUGAUAAUGGUCCAAUCAGUAUGGCCGGAGUGAUGAAAAUGCCAGCCGGCUUAUCUCAGUGGGACAGCUUGGCGAUGGGGAGGGAGGCCUGUCAGAAAGACAACAAGAACCUGUUUUGAAAUGAGGAGGCUGCAGCUCAUACUCCUGCUAGCAACUCACAGCGGUAUCUUUUUAUAGCUUUGCAUGCGUGUGCACAUUUUUAAGUGCGUUUUUCAGGUAAAUCCGAUAAAUACAUGCAUCGGUAUAGGUUUUGCGUGCGCAGCAGGUAUUUGCAUUUGCAUGAAUGCACAGCAGGUUUGCAGGAUGUGUUUGCAUUUGUGGUGUUUAUGCAUGCAUAUGUUGUUUGCACCGCUGAUGGAGCUCACUGUGUGGGACAGGUGAGGGUUCGCCUCAUAAAAAAAUGGGAUGGGUUCACGUUUCUGAAAUUGAUAACUGCUGACCGGGAGAUAACAGCUCCGUUUCAGAAGUGAGCUCUUGGGAUCAUGCACAGGUUAUCAUAAAAAGCAUGCGUCUACUUUGGGUUUUUAAUUUAAUAUUGGUUUUUAAUAUGCAGUAGAAAAACAGGAAAAAAAUAGAGCAUCUCACAGCUACACACAAAGGCCAAAAAUGAAAAAAAUCAAGAGCAAAUCAUUUAGAUUUUAAAAAUAUGACUGUGAUAAGGGACAGGGUGAAUUUAAAGAAUAUUUGUGAUUGAAUUAAAGUACAAGUUAAUAAUUGACUAAAUCAGAUGUGAUGUAGACAUACUUAUGCACAAAACCAAGUAAGGGCCUGUUUCCAUUUAUAGUUUUCUCUUCGAGGAGAAUGGUCCUGACUGAAAUGCAAUCAGUAUUUUUAUCACUCAAUAUCCUCAGUACAAAAAGACCUGUGCUUACAAUGCUUCAAGUUAAAAAUACUUUAAUUUCUGGUACACCACCAGGUCCCUCAAAGUCACUUCGAUAUUUCUAGCCAAUAAAAAAAAUCAAGAAAGUAUGGAACUGAUUUAACAGGGGGGGAGGCAAAGUGCAAUGGGAUAACUUUUUCAGUAAGUGCUGCAGAGAGACUCUUGAAACUUGAUGUCAAGGGCGAAAAAUGCUGUUAAUGGACACAGGCCCUUAAAAAAAAAAUUUAAAUCACUAUUAAAUGGAUAUCAGAGCCAAACUAUUUAAAACUACUAUUUAUUAAUUUUAAAAUUUAUUUUCAAAAUUAUUUUAAAUUCUGUUAAGUUUUGGUUUAUUGGGUAUUUUAUUUAUUUUUAUUUAUUUUAUGUUUAUCUAUAUUGUUGUUUUAUGUUUUAAUAUGUCUUUUUGCUUUUAUUGUUUUUACUGUCUCGGGCUAUUUCACUGUAAAGCACUUUGGUAGGCCACUGGCUGUUUUUAAAUGUGCUACUGUAUAUAAAUAAAGCUGACAUUGACAUUGGUUAUCAGGAGAAGAAAUUUUUAAAAAUUUAAUUUUAAUUUAAAACCUUACCUUGCAGCUUUUUCAUAUAUCCAAAAGUAAAAUAAAACAUCAGGGAUGAGUUUAAUAUUUGUAUAUGAUAAUUUUUAGUGCUUAAAACUUGUAGUAGGGGGUCAGUGUCAGCCAAGCAGCUGAAGAAACAUCCAUGUUUGUAUAACUAUCAGGAUAACAUUUUGAGUCAAGAGUCACUACAAAAUAUGAAGGAAAGACUGCUUUGUCCACAGGGGGCGCCAAAACUUACACUGACUGAAAGUUCCUCACAGGAACUUUAAUUUAAAAUACAAUAUAUCUAUUUUUUUUAAAGUUUUCUUUAAUUCUGAUAUCAGCACUACUUAAAAAGUCAGAAAUCAAGGUUAUUGAACUAAAAGUGUCACAUGUUGUAUUAUGGCUCACUUCCUGACCUAAAAACCUGAUGAUCUUUCUUUCCAAAGGCAUUACAUCCUCCUGUACCGAUUUGCACUUGAACCGAUUACGUGAUAAGAGUGAACUUUCUGUAUGUGUGCCACCGCCUGUGCCAAUCUUGUGGACAUGACAACAGGUGCCUUAAGUCAUCGUUGGCGGGCGGUGAAAGGGCUCAGUCACAUUGCAGAUACGUUCUAUGGGAGGUAUUAUAGUAUUUGGCAUGAAUGAAACGUGUUAACUGUCAGUAAGGUGGAGGUUCCUGCCAGCUGGGGAGGAGCAGAGGAUGGGAAACUUGCUGUGUGUCCACCACUGUACAUGAGAGCUCCGGUUACAGUGAGGGCAUUAUGCCAGAUUAUGGGGCUAAGCAGGGGGCACUGUCUGUCUGUCUCCCUGCUGGUGUUUGGAGAGGACUCGGCCUGGACUGGACACACAGCUGUUCCUCGCCGCUCUGCACCAGACACUCAGGCGUCCAAUAAAACUGCAGGAGUUUAAGAGUGUUUUUGUGUCUGUGGCAAUAUUUUUGUUUUGCUGGAGAGGAUUUUUUUGCCCAUUUGCUUUAAUGUCUGCACCUGUGAACUAAGCUAACACACAUGUAUUUGGAUUUGUCACUUUCUGGUUGUCAGCUACACACAUUAUUGCUCGUCACUCAGUAACUUUAUAACAGCUAUCUUUUUAUUUCCCUCCGAAUGCUUUAACCUUUAGAACUCCCAGCUAUAUUAUAUUAUGUAAAAUGAAUGUGACUGUAGAUUCAGAACCAUCAAAGUCGACCAAAGAACAAAAACGGAAAUUGAUACCAACAGCACUUUGCUCAAAAAAACUUAUAAAUCUACAGUGACCGAGCCUUUUCUCACCUGCACAUCAUUCUCUCAAGUCUUGGCUAUCAGGAGAAGAAAUAUUGGGAUUGGAACAAACACACAACAGAAACUAUUUACAUAUUUACACUAACUCUUCCAGGCGUUUUUAACUAUUUACAGUUGUUUUUGCCACUCCUUGAAGCAGUUCCUGUCUGGGAUGGGACAAACGGCCACAUCAUACUGCUCAUAUUCUCUUCUCUGCUUGUUUCCAAGCAUUGACGACCAUCACUCCUUAUUUUGCAGACAAGCAAAGAUCAACCAAAGAUCUUUUUGAUCUUUGGUUUCCUCUCAUUGGACACUACUGUCAAGGGAACAAUAAAAGAAGAAUAUGAGACCAUGUAAUUGGUCGAAAGUUUGACAGAAAAAGGCUAAAUCAAAACAGCUUGAAGACAUUAGCGGCAUUUAGCAAUAGCAAUCUUUUUUCAUCGCAAGAAUAUGAUAAAUAAUCAUGUUUUUACUGCGGAUUCACCAUCAAACGUCUCUGAUCAAACAAAUAUUUUUGUGGCUGGAUUGUAAACCUUGUGGAAGGCGUAGAAAUGCCCGGAAACCCUCGAUAGAUCGCCAAAAGGGUAAACUUUUGAACACUUUUUAUCCCAUAGAGAUACACGGAACAGUUCCUGAGAAACUGUAAACAAUAUUAAUGGUGUUAAUUAACUCUGCAGCAUUUUCCUCUUCAGUUACUCUUACUUCGUUUAAACUUCUCCCACAGUCAUAUAACUAUACUAUUCUUUUAAAGUAGCCGCACUAACACAGCUUAUGUGCUUACAAAUGGGAGCGGACCCUCUCAUUGCCCACUUUCCGACUGUGUGAUGAGGGAAAAGCCUUCUGCGAUGUGGUGACUAGAGCGGAUAACUUCUCCAAAGUCUCCCCGGGGCUGCAGCUCUGUAAUGAGUGGCCAUUAUCACCAGAGAGUACACUGCUAAGGAGAUAAGAGAGAUCCAGUCUGCGGACAACCAGCCCUGUUCACUGUCACGACCCAAGAAUAGCCGAAUGACGCUGGUAUCACCAAAUUAAAGACUCUUCUUCUUUCCUUUCUCUCUCUUUUUUCGAACCAUUACCUCAACGGUUUCUGGCCAGCAUUCAUUUCUCUUCCCUUUCUUCAUUUUCCUGUCAAGUAUUUUGGCCCUGACUUUACUUCCUUUCUCUUUAAUUAAAUGAACUCUAGCAGAGGCAAAUGCCUGGACGCCUAAACGAUGUACUCAGCAUUAAUUAAUAAUAAAUAACUCAGUCCAGCUUCGUCAUCUCUUUCUAAAAAUGUGUUUUGGCCUGUUUUUUGAAGAGGCAUUCAGAGGUGACAGUCGCCAUGUUGGAAAUGCUCUGUACGUUUAUAUACACAGCAAAGUCGAGCUACGGUAAAAGGCAUUAAACCAGACUGUUGUUCUUGUCUUGGUUGACAAGGCAAGAAUCGAGUUAUUGACAGAAGCAUGUUUGCAACUGCUCCAGUAGGUGGCAACAUUUUCUUUUUCUCCUCGCUACUUCUGGACUGGAUGUUGAUCAACGACAUCAUCUAUCAAAAACUAUCCACAAGUGUGUCGGCAGCUGGCAAACGGGCUGUCCAUUAGUGUUAGCGGUAUGACGGUAUAACGGUGCCUACCAGUAGAAAUUUUGCUAUAAUGUUAAUACUGGAGAGUCUGCUGCAUCUCUCUGAGUCAGUGUGUAGUUGUCUGCGCUCGCUAACAGGAAAACCGUAGCGCCUCGUGCUAAGUUUGUUCGCUCCGUUUGGUUGGUCAGGUUUGGGUGCGCUCCCUAUUAUCACCAGCGCGUCCAGCAGACUGCUUGGCAUAGUUUCGACCAAGAGGAAACAGCUUCACUGGUGGUGGUCAUGGCGGACGUGGAGAUUAGUUGCAGUACCGAGCAAACGGAGGCAGCCCGACCCACCCAACACAGGAACUUGUUCCGAAAAAGGGCGCGAGUCGUAACAUCGGUUGUCUGGAGAUUCUUCAGAUUUAGAAAAUCCGACAAUGAUCAAAAAACAAGACUAUGCAAAGAGUGUUGCGUGGCUACCAUCGCUGGAGGACGAAAUACCAGCAACUUCUUCCACCGCCUAAAGAUGAAACACGCCAAGCUCUAUAAUGAGAGCCAAGAGAUGUGUGGCGCACCCGCUGCACCAAAAACUAGAGUUGUAGCAGCUCCUCUCAUAUAAAAAAGUUUGGCAGGGUCUUUCACCAAAGGUACACCAUAUAAUAAAAAAUCACCAGACUGGUCUGACAUUUUGUUUACAUUUGUAAACAAAUCUGAGUCUUACAGUAAAAGGAAAAUGAACAAAUGUGACAGUAUGGUCAUUUUCAAGUCAUCAAUUGAAAUUACAGGGGUAAAAAACAUACAGUGAUACCGAUAUUGUGAUAUAAAAUUACUCAUGUUACGUGAUAUAAGAUUUUCUUCAUACCGUCCAACACUCAUGUCCCUUGAUGAAAACGCCGUCACUUUUACAGCUCUAUGUCGUUUUAACAAAUGAUACAACAGCUUUGUCUUUUUGACGUCUCCUUGUGUCCUGUCAAGGUUUUGUUUACUCCCCUGGUUUCCUGGCAACACAUUUAAUUCCGGGUCCAAACCCAGCAUGUGAACUCUGGAGCAUGUGCAGAACUUUUAGGCCAAUGUCAGUCUAAAUGAGGCACACCCACUGGACUGUCUGUUUCUAUCAGACAAAUUAAUUUUUUAAUAACUGGCUGACUUCUAAGAGAUUUGGUCAACAUAGUUGGAUCAUCAAAACAGCAUUCCUGCUUCCUGGAAAUGGCGGCUAUGUGAGCGCGGUCUAUGAAUAUGGUCAACGCCUCAGGAUUGGUAGGGCCCAGGUGGGAUUGUGCUUGUCAGAGUUGGCAGUGGGAGUGGAUAACAAGCGGGCCAAGGAUCACCGUGAUUACAGGCCCAACCCGCCCCUCGGAGAAAACGCUCUCUCCAUCAAAGGACAGGAAUGGCAUGUGCGGUGUGCCAGCCGAGCGCCGUCCCAUGAGGUCAUACGCUAAAAAGAGCGAGAUGGACGCCGUAGCCGCAGAUGAGAGCAUGUGUCGUGUGUGAGUGUGUGACAUUUGGGCCCGCUCUGGUUACAUUAUGUGUGAAAUUUUAAAGUGACAUCACGUACAUAAUCAUUAGCGCAAGGUUGAAACUUAAUACAGCUACGAAAUGGAAAUGCAAAUUGUCACAACAUGUUUUAGGGGACUCUUUAAAGGGAAGUAUCGCACAAAUUCACAGUGAUAUAGAGAAAUCCUUUUCCCCUGGUACUAGGACAGAGCCUUCUCCACUGCUGCCCCACACACUCUGGAAUUCACUCCCCAUACUCUUUUACCUUUUACAUUGUUGGUCUCCAAAUUUUCUAUAUUUUAAUUGUGUUUCUUGUAAAGAGUCUUUAAGCACUUAUAAAAGCGCGUUAUCA